rnacentral:ribozyme from 1 species
CAGGUGAGUGCUACCAGAAAACAUGCUCAAUGGAUCCAAGUUGUGUUGUGGUGAAAGGGCUGUCUGAGCCAGGUCCCGCAGCGGGCAGUGAUGGAAUUGACGCAGAGACUGUUUAUUU